rnacentral:rRNA from 1 species
GCCAUCUGUUGAUUGUCUUACCCAUUGGAUAACCGUGGGAAAUCUAGAGCUAAUACAUGCAGUUCAUUGGCGUGAUCACAAGUUGCGUCAAAGCAUUUAUUAGACUUAACCAUCUACUGUACGCAAGUAUAGUAAGGCGAAUCUAGAUAACUUUGCUGAUCGUAUGGCCCUGUGCCGACGACGUUUCAAUUGAGUUUCUGCCCUAUCAAUUUGUUGGUAAGGUAUUGGCUUACCAAGGUUGCAACGGGUAACGGGGAAUCAGGGUUCGAUUCCGGAGAGGGAGCCUGAGAAACGGCUACCACAUCCAAGGAAGGCAGCAGGCGCGCAAAUUACCCAAUCUAGACAGUAGGAGGUGGUGAAGAGAAGUACUUAGUGGUGGCCAAAUGGUCCCAACUAGGAAUGAACGUAAUUUAAGCAAUUCGAUGAGUAACUACUGGAGGGCAAGUCCUGGUGCCAGCAGCCGCGGUAAUUCCAGCUCCAGUGGCGUGAUUUAAAGUUGCUGCGUUUAAAACGCUCGUAGUUGGAUCACGCAGUGGCAUACAGUAACAUGAAUCGUGUUUUUUGACGAUUUUCUUCAACGAGAUUAUUGAAAUUGAGCCGGUUUGUGUGUUUACGCUGUAUGUCACUAUUUGCACACAAGUAUGGUAUUUGGUCUUAAGUGUAUCGAGUAUCAUGUCUUGUGGAGUGUGCCUUGAAUAAAACAGAGUGCUCAAAGCAGGCGAACGCUUGAAUGUUAUAGCAUGGAACGAACAAACGUGUAUUUGCACGUACUUGAGCGGUUGGGGGCAACUUUGACUGCUUAGGUAUGUGCAGCACCCGCCAAAAUACGGAUGUUGGUUUUCGUAUCAGGUGAUGAUUAACAGGAGCGGUUGGGGGCAUUGGUAUUUGGCCGCGAGAGGUGAAAUUCUUGGACCGGCCAAGGACUAACAGAUGCGAAGGCGUUUGUCUAGACCGUUUCCAUUAAUCAAGAACGAAAGUGGGAGGUUCGAAGACGAUCAGAUACCGUCCUAGUUCCCACUAUAAACUAUGCCGACCUGAUCAGUUAGAAAGUGCCG